GACAGAGGAUGCAAGCGUUAUCCGGAAUGAUUGGGCGUAAAGAGCUUGUAGGCGGUCUGUCGCGUCUGCUGUGAAAAUCCGGGGCUCAACCCCGGACUUGCAGUGGGUACGGGCAGACUAGAGUGUGGUAGGGGAGACUGGAAUUCCUGGUGUAGCGGUGAAAUGCGCAGAUAUCAGGAGGAACACCGAUGGCGAAGGCAGGUCUCUGGGCCACUACUGACGCUGAGAAGCGAAAGCAUGGGGAGCGAACAGG
rnacentral:rRNA from 1 species